UCAUUUGUUUGAAGUGCCAGAUGGAUUGGGGGAGUGCCUGGUGGUUUGGGGGACAGUAAAAGGAGUUCAUGAGUACAAAAUGGAAUUUUCUGCUUACAUCCCUGCUGUGCACAGUAAGAUGUAUGAAACUCCAGUGCUGGCGUUAUUGAUUUCACUGCAAUCAUCGGUGAUUUACCAGAAAAUUAUUUAUUUUAAAAGGGACAGGGCCGAAAUAUGAUACCAAAUCUGGGCCGUUCUGAAACAUAUGGAGACUUAAGAGAUCAGGCUUUCAAGAAGAUUGUACAUAACUCGUUUCAAUGAAACAACCAGAAUAAACAUGGUAUUAUAAGACUUGAUCGUACAGUGAUCGAUGAAUGACAAACAUUCGCUGGCUGAAGACACAGACAAUAUUAUGAAAGUUUUGUUUAUAUCCCUAGUAGGCAAGAGUUUAACUUUGAAUGAAUAUUAAAUAAAGUUACAUUUUAUUUUG